rnacentral:rRNA from 1 species
UACAUAGAGUGCGAGCGUUAAUCGGAAUCACUGGGCGUAAAGCGUGCGCAGGCGAUCUUGCAAGACAGAUGUGAAAUCCCCGGACUUAACCUGAGAACUGCACUUGUGACUGCAAGGCUAGAGUACGACAGAGGGGGAUGGAAUUCCGCGUGUAGCAGUGAAAUGCGUAGAUAUGCGAGAGAACACCAAUGGCGAAGGCAAUCCCCUGGGCCUGUACUGACGCUCAUGCACGAAAGCGUGGGGAGCAAACAGG